UUGGAAGUAACAAAUCGUAACAAGGUCUCCGUUGGUGAACCAGCGGAGGGAUCAUUACCGAGUUUACAACUCCCAAACCCCUGUGAACAUACCUAUACGUUGCCUCGGCGGAUCAGCCCGCGCCCCGUAAAAAGGGACGGCCCGCCCGAGGACCCCUAAACUCUGUUUUUAGUGGAACUUCUGAGUAAAACAAACAAAUAAAUCAAAACUUUCAACAACGGAUCUCUUGGUUCUGGCAUCGAUGAAGAACGCAGCAAAAUGCGAUAAGUAAUGUGAAUUGCAGAAUUCAGUGAAUCAUCGAAUCUUUGAACGCACAUUGCGCCCGCCAGUAUUCUGGCGGGCAUGCCUGUUCGAGCGUCAUUUCAACCCUCAAGCUCAGCUUGGUGUUGGGACUCGCGGUAACCCGCGUUCCCCAAAUCGAUUGGCGGUCACGUCGAGCUUCCAUAGCGUAGUAAUCAUACACCUCGUUACUGGUAAUCGUCGCGGCCACGCCGUAAAACCCCAACUUCUGAAUGUUGACCUCGGAUCAGGUAGGAAUACCCGCUGAACUUAAGCAUAUCU
rnacentral:rRNA from 1 species